rnacentral:tRNA from 1 species
AUAGGUGUAUAAUAUAACAAAAUAUCCGGCUAUAGAGGGUCAUCCUUCUAAAACGACUGUUAAUCGUUGGGUGUCGUCGGUUCGAAUCCGGCCAUCUCUU